rnacentral:rRNA from 1 species
ACCCAUGGCAGACGGGGUAGUAACGUGUAGGUACAUUCCUUAGAGUCAGGGAUAACCAUGGGAAACCAUGGACAAUACUUGAUAGUCCCUUCGGGGUAAAGAUUUAUCGCUCUAAGAUUGGCCUGCAUCGUAUCAGCUUGUUGGUAAGGUAACGGCUUACCAAGGCUAUGACGCGUAGGGGAGGUGAGAGCCUGACCCCCACCACUGGUACUGAGACACGGACCAUACACC